rnacentral:lncRNA from 1 species
UUGACACUGAAGCUCUGCUAGGGUUACAGAAUCUCCAGCGCCGUUUCUCCCCUUGGGGGCUCCUCCCCCUUGGGGGUGAAACGGGGAGGGCUCUAGUUGUGCUGAUUUGUUAGUAGCCUCACCGCGCCACCGAGCCACCGCCGUCGCCGUACCUCAGCCGCGAUCUGGUCUGCUCCGGCCACUAUCCCCUCUACCCUUGGUGCCAGUGCCACCGGCUUGACUCAUCUUGGUGCCGUUGAAGCCGUUUGUGUUCUUCCUUGAAGGCUAAAGUGUUUGCAUCUCCGGCAGAGUCGGAUGGAUUGCAAGUUGAAGCAGUUGUUUUAAAAAGGAAUGAUUUACUACUGCUUGGAAAGCCAAACUUUUCACUGGUUUCUGAGAUUUAGGGUGCUUGUAAGGUUUUUCUUUGUUAGUUGAUUACUUGUAUCAGCAUGAGUGAGCAUGCUUAUUAGUCUUCAAUUGCUUAUCUGUUUAUGCAUUGCAGAAUCACUGCUUGGGAUUUUAGUCCCACUGAUGUAAGUUUCACUGCU